UGGCGGACGGGUGGAGGAAUACAUCGGAAUCUACUCUGUCGUGGGGGAUAACGUAGGGAAACUUACGCUAAUACCGCAUACGACCUACGGGUGAAAGCAGGGGAUCUUCGGACCUUGCGCGAUUGAAUGAGCCGAUGUCGGAUUAGCUAGUUGGCGGGGUAAAGGCCCACCAAGGCGACGAUCCGUAGCUGGUCUGAGAGGAUGAUCAGCCACACUGGAACUGAGACACGGUCCAGACUCCUACGGGAGGCAGCAGCG
rnacentral:rRNA from 1 species